UAAAAGUUAUAUGAAUGUAAUCUCUCUCUCUCUCAAAUUAUCUUAUACUGUACUCACCCUUCUUGUGUUGAUGUGAGGAUGACAAUACGCCCACGUGAAGAGAUGAAGAGAAGUGAAUGACACGGGCACUGAGAGGUAGCAUUAGGCUGCUAUUGACCUUCUGACUAUACCUCAGAAGGAGGAGCGCCUGCUUCUGGGCCAUGGUUGACCACGUGUAACUGAAACCACGCUUGUGCUAUGAAGCCCAGCAAGAAGAAGGUGGCAGAUCAGAAAAAGUAGAAGACUUCCCGGCUUUUGCUUCUAAAAGACUAAGUGCACUAAAAACCAAACAAACAAAACUCUCCCAAACAGGGAUGGGCUAAAAUGGAAUAAGACGGAGUGCUUCCUCAGAAGCAGGAGAGAGAGAAAGAGUGCAGACCUCAUUCCAGGAAAUAACUUGCUGAGGCUGUGGGGAGGGCAGAGAUCUAUCAUUCUGCUUUCUGUACCUGGAGACUGACCUGCAUAGACUACAUCAUCAAGACUGCCCUCUGACUUCUGGCUGCAUAAGGACAUUAGGAAGACUUGGCAGAAAUUAGAAGGAAAGAAGAGUGUCAGAUCUGAGUGUUAAUUCCCUGGCUUCAUCAAAGGACACUGGUCUUCGUGAGAAGGGAGGCUCUCCAUGAUUCUCCUUUUGGGUUCCAACAAAUACUCCCCUCUUCUAUCUGUUAGGCUUAGGGACAUAAGAACUCAGCAGCUAAGAUUUCCAAGUUCUUUGUGGCUCCUCCAUAUUCAUAUCUUUGAUGAUAGGCCCUUUGUAAAUAAAUUCUUCUUGAAUUUCCCUAGGGUGAAUGGGUUACCAUUUCUCUUGGAACCCUGGCUGAUACGUCAUGGAAUCUUCAAAAAUAUCCUAUCAAAAAUAUACCAUUAUUGCCCCAUUUUAAAAAUGAAGACAGUAGAUGGGCUUCAGGAGUUUGCUGAAAAUCACUCCUCUUGUGAGUAGAGUAGCUGGGAUUAGAACCCUGGAAGUCCAGCUUUUGAAAUCAUGCCCUUAAUCACCACAUUAAAUACCUUAAUGAACAAUCCUUGUUCUGGAUGAAUCCCCUACCCACAACAACCUAGUUCAAGUCCCUUUUCCACAGAAACCUUCUCAUUUUGUUUGACCAUGAUUGUUUUAUGAUUCCUAACUCUCAAAUUGAGAAUCAUCCUCAAAUCUUAUGUGUAUACACUUGUUCUAUGGUCCCAGAAAGAGCUUAUUUGUUGUGAGGGGGUAGAGACCACUGGUUCCCUUUUUCACUUCUGACCAAGUAGCUCAAUCCUAGGAACAGGGCACAUUCUUUAUUUUUUAUUUUUUAAAACUGUUUAUUUAUUUUUGAAGGGGAGAGAGAUAGAAUGUGA